rnacentral:lncRNA from 1 species
AAAAAAAUUAUUUCAUUGAAGCUUCUCAUUUACAUGGCCUAAUUUAUUAAAACUUAACUAGAUGGUCUUCCUAAAUAUGAUUAUAUUCUAAGCCAGAGGUGUCUGCAUGAUCAUCAUCUGAAAAGAACUCAUUUAGGAGUAAAUUAAUUGCUUAAGCGUUAAACCCUCCGAAAUUAAUCAAAAUAGGGUUUGAAUAUGAAACCAAGAAAAUGAAAUGCUCAUAUAGAGUAAAAUUGUAAAGGGUUCAAAUGAAGUGGCUUAAAAGUAUAUGAAAAAUAAAGAUUAAGCCAAGAUCUUAGCUUGUAAGUAUGGAUGAAAAUCAAGAAAAUGAAUAAUUUUCGGGAUUCCAGAUAGCUAGUUUUGAUGGAUAUGCCAUAUGGCAAUUUAAAUGUUUAGAGGAAAUUAUAUAUUUUUGGUGCUUUCUUUUUUAUUUGAAACUUGUAUUAUAUUUACAAUUAAUUUUUAAAUAAUAAAUAAUAUGAGAUAAUAGUAUAAUAUUAUUAAUUGAAAUUUUUGGAGAGUUUUUAAUAUUUUUGGUGAUAAGACAAAGGGAAGACUCCAUCUCUACCAACACCAAGUAAACAACCCUCAUCACAAUUGAUUAUUUUCAAUGCAGAAAUUGAUUAACUUAUAGGAUUAAUGGCAGUAUUACUCCUUAAUGGAAUUGCCACUCAAUUGUGUUUAGAAAGUGAUAUUGAAUUAUUAGCUUCAAUCCAAGCUGUCAUCCAUAAACGCCGGUUCCUUAUCUUUUUGAGUAGUUAGUUUUAGAUUUUGGUAUGCACUAUUAAAUUUCAUUGAGGUAUGAUACAUAAAUACGUAAAAUUUGAAGUUUUCUAACGUCUUAACUUUCUCUUUUCUUGUUUAAUACCAUCUCAAUAGGAAAUAAUGUCGUAUCCACUCUAUCAAAUAUUUGGUAAGUAGAAUAAAAACGUUAACAUAAUCGAAGUUCGCAACUUAUUACUGUUUAAUAUUCAAAAUUUAAAAAGAAAAAAUAAUUAUUCUCUUCUACACCAAAGGAUAAUGGACUAGUUUCAUCUGAUGGUGAUGUUGGUAGGAAUCUAGGUUAGUUAUCCACCAAUGAAAUCUAUUAAUGUGUGACUAUGUCCAUUAUCCACUGCACCAUGAAUUUCAUGAUUUUUAGGUAAACAUUUUCUGACAUAUUGUGCUAGCUACAUAGAAAAGAUUAAGAAAUGUACUCGAGAUAUUUGAUAAUUUAGAUUGGAGAGUCUGUUUCCGCAAUCAUUCUACUAAUAUAUCAAACGUGUUUUAAUGUCUUAAAUUAGGAUUGUCAUUGGAUUGAAUUUUGAUUUGAAUCCAAUCCGACUCAGAUGAAAUUAAUGAAAGAUGGAUUUAGAAUCUCAAUCCGAUCAAGAUUCAAAUUCGAUAAUCCAUUAACUAAAUGAAGCAAAUAUAGAUGUAGGUCAAUUCGAUUCGUUAACAACCUGAUCUAAUUAAUAAUAUAAUAAAUUUUAUAUAUUAUCGCAUAAUUUAUAACACAUAUAGUUCUUUUUUAUUUGAAACUUGUAUUAUAUUUACAAUUAAUUUUUAAAUAAUAAAUAAUAUGAGAUAAUAGUAUAAUAUUAUUAAUUGAAAUUUUUGGAGAGUUUUUAAUUUUAUGCCAAUCAAAAUAAGAUAAAAACAUAAUUAAUUUAUUUUUAUAAAUUAAACAACUAAAGAGGCCAACAUCCGGAGUUAAUUUCAUUGUUUCCAACUUCCGACCUCUCACAUCGGAUACCCACUAGAAUAUCAUAGGAUUUGUAAUCUACAAAUAGAUGGGCCAAAAAUUAAGUAAAAAGUUAUAUGGGCCUUUUAAUUCUAGGGUUUAGAAGUUGAGUAAUAUAACAUUUUUACCUAAUUUCUCAAUUUCUGAUCGGAUUAUCGGGUUGAAUAUCUGAUAAUGUAGCAAAUGGAUAUGAAUUUAACAAUUAAAUAUCCAUUAAAUUAUCGGAUUGGAUUGGAUCAAAUAAUUAUUCUUAUCGAAUCGAAUAUGGACAAGUCCAGUCUAUAUCCGAUCCAUUUACAGUUCUAUCUCAAACUGUAUUUGGUAGACAGUGUAAGAAAAGUACCAUAAAAUGCUUAGGCCUAAGCAUAAACCACAUGAAAAUCGAAUCGUACUAACUUGAUACAAACUCAUACGCACUUCUAAACAUGACCCUAUUUGACGAUUAAAUUAUAACAUUGCUGAUUUUCUAAAGCCAAUUAUAAAGUACCUUAAAGAGAUAAUAAAGCUAGUGGGAGCGCAUGACUUAUGAAGAAGUUAAGUGGGCAUUAGUCCUAAUCACAUCAUUCUAGUUAGACCAACAAUCAAUGAAAUUGAAAACAUUUUAAGACUCUAUUUGGUCCUCCAAAUUAUAAUAUAUUAUGAAAUUAAUCCAUAAAAGAUGAUUAUUUCUUUUACUAUGGUUCUUUUGUGGCUACUCAAAUUUUUUUUUUCUUUUAUUGUUCACUACGAUACGUAUUUAACUCACAUGUGCAGUUGUGACUUAUUUAUAUACUUGUUCGUUGCUGUUCAAGUUUAGAUAAUUAUAGAUAAAAUACAAGUGUAAAUUAAAUCUUGCUCGUAAAACUAUGUUUGCAAGUCCUUAGUUUGAGACAUUGAGCGUGUUUAUUAGGGACUGAGCUAUUUUCUCACUGGCGGACGGGUGGAGGUCUUGGUGGGAGUCGGAACCCCACUUUAUGCAGAUUAUUUUUUAUUUUAUUUUAUUUCAAUAAUAUAAACUUAAUUGGGCCCAAUUCUCUCCCACACCAAAAUUUUCAACAGUAUUGGAAAAUUUGAUAAUUAAGAGAUUAAAUAUAACUCAUUUCAAAACUAAGAAAUUAUUUCAUUGAAGCUUCUCAUUUACAUGGCCUAAUUUAUUAAAACUUAACUAGAUGGUCUUCCUAAAUAUGAUUAUAUUCUAAGCCAGAGGUGUCUGCAUGAUCAUCAUCUGAAAAGAACUCAUUUAGGAGUAAAUUAAUUGCUUAAGCGUUAAACCCUCCGAAAUUAAUCAAAAUAGGGUUUGAAUAUGAAACCAAGAAAAUGAAAUGCUCAUAUAGAGUAAAAUUGUAAAGGGUUCAAAUGAAGUGGCUUAAAAGUAUAUGAAAAAUAAAGAUUAAGCCAAGAUCUUAGCUUGUAAGUAUGGAUGAAAAUCAAGAAAAUGAAUAAUUUUCGGGAUUCCAGAUAGCUAGUUUUGAUGGAUAUGCCAUAUGGCAAUUUAAAUGUUUAGAGGAAAUUAUAUAUUUUUGGUGCUACGACAAAGGGAAGACUCCAUCUCUACCAACACCAAGUAAACAACCCUCAUCACAAUUGAUUAUUUUCAAUGCAGAAAUUGAUUAACUUAUAGGAUUAAUGGCAGUAUUAC